rnacentral:ncRNA from 1 species
CAAAUAGUACCUACUCGUAUAAUCUCAGGAAUAUGGCCUGCAAGUUUCUACCGACUUACCGUAAACAAGUCGACUAUGAGUGACAAUGGAU